AUUGAACGCUGGCGGCAUGCUUUACACAUGCAAGUCGAACGGUAACAGCACUUCGGUGGCUGACGAGUGGCGCACGGGUGAGUAAUACAUCGGAACGUGCCUAGUAGUGGGGGAUAACUACUCGAAAGAGUAGCUAAUACCGCAUGAGAUCUAAGGAUGAAAGCAGGGGACCUUCGGGCCUUGCGCUACUAGAGCGGCUGAUGGCAGAUUAGGUAGUUGGUGGGAUAAAAGCUUACCAAGCCGACGAUCUGUAGCUGGUCUGAGAGGACGACCAGCCACACUGGGACUGAGACACGGCCCAGACUCCUACGGGAGGCAGCAGUGGGGAAUUUUGGACAAUGGGCGCAAGCCUGAUCCAGCAAUGCCGCGUGCAGGAUGAAGGCCUUCGGGUUGUAAAAUGCUUUUGUACGGAACGAAAAGCCCUCUUCUAAUACAGGAGGGUCAUGACGGUACCGUAAGAAUAAGCACCGGCUAACUACGUG
rnacentral:rRNA from 1 species